ensembl:lncRNA
GGACCAAUAAAGCACUGGUCCUGCUCCAUCCUGUGUCAUCAGGACCCGCAGCUCCUCCAACUGUCUCAGCAAGCAAAGAGAAGACACAAGGAAGACUCCCCACGCUGACCCACUUUGGACUGGGAGUCAGCGCCGCUGCCAAGGGCAGAUGAAGCACUUUCACUACAGGGUUUGCUUCGGAAGGAAGAGCAAAUCUCCAUGGAGCUGUGCUGCCGGAAUCUAUUUGCUUGCAGAUCUGGAAGCUGAAAAGUAAGAUCUAGGAAAUGGAAGACUUGCUCUCUGGUAAGGGCUCGCUCUCUAUUUCAUAGAUGGCUUCUUCUCACUGUAUUCUCACAUGGCAGAAGAGACAAUCGAGUUACCUCAGGCCUCUUUCAUAAGAGCAUCAAUCCCAUUCAUUUAAUAAUGACCUCGAAGCACGAAAGUAGUGAUGUUGGCAACUUAUUAC